rnacentral:rRNA from 1 species
ACUAAGCGUACACGGUGGAUGCCCUGGCAGUCAGAGGCGAUGAAGGACGUGCUAAUCUGCGAUAAGCGUCGGUAAGGUGAUAUGAACCGUUAUAACCGGCGAUUUCCGAAUGGGGAAACCCAGUGUGUUUCGACACACUAUCAUUAACUGAAUCCAUAGGUUAAUGAGGCGAACCGGGGGAACUGAAACAUCUAAGUACCCCGAGGAAAAGAAAUCAACCGAGAUUCCCCCAGUAGCGGCGAGCGAACGGGGAGGAGCCCAGAGCCUGAAUCAGUGUGUGUGUUAGUGGAAGCGUCUGGAAAGGCGCGCGAUACAGGGUGACAGCCCCGUACACAAAAAUGCACAUGCUGUGAGCUCGAUGAGUAGGGCGGGACACGUGGUAUCCUGUCUGAAUAUGGGGGGACCAUCCUCCAAGGCUAAAUACUCCUGACUGACCGAUAGUGAACCAGUACCGUGAGGGAAAGGCGAAAAGAACCCCGGCGAGGGGAGUGAAAAAGAACCUGAAACCGUGUACGUACAAGCAGUGGGAGCACGCUUAGGCGUGUGACUGCGUACCUUUUGUAUAAUGGGUCAGCGACUUAUAUUCUGUAGCAAGGUUAACCGAAUAGGGGAGCCGAAGGGAAACCGAGUCUUAACUGGGCGUUAAGUUGCAGGGUAUAGACCCGAAACCCGGUGAUCUAGCCAUGGGCAGGUUGAAGGUUGGGUAACACUAACUGGAGGACCGAACCGACUAAUGUUGAAAAAUUAGCGGAUGACUUGUGGCUGGGGGUGAAAGGCCAAUCAAACCGGGAGAUAGCUGGUUCUCCCCGAAAGCUAUUUAGGUAGCGCCUCGUGAAUUCAUCUCCGGGGGUAGAGCACUGUUUCGGCAAGGGGGUCAUCCCGACUUACCAACCCGAUGCAAACUGCGAAUACCGGAGAAUGUUAUCACGGGAGACACACGGCGGGUGCUAACGUCCGUCGUGAAGAGGGAAACAACCCAGACCGCCAGCUAAGGUCCCAAAGUCAUGGUUAAGUGGGAAACGAUGUGGGAAGGCCCAGACAGCCAGGAUGUUGGCUUAGAAGCAGCCAUCAUUUAAAGAAAGCGUAAUAGCUCACUGGUCGAGUCGGCCUGCGCGGAAGAUGUAACGGGGCUAAACCAUGCACCGAAGCUGCGGCAGCGACGCUUAUGCGUUGUUGGGUAGGGGAGCGUUCUGUAAGCCUGUGAAGGUGUACUGUGAGGUAUGCUGGAGGUAUCAGAAGUGCGAAUGCUGACAUAAGUAACGAUAAAGCGGGUGAAAAGCCCGCUCGCCGGAAGACCAAGGGUUCCUGUCCAACGUUAAUCGGGGCAGGGUGAGUCGACCCCUAAGGCGAGGCCGAAAGGCGUAGUCGAUGGGAAACAGGUUAAUAUUCCUGUACUUGGUGUUACUGCGAAGGGGGGACGGAGAAGGCUAUGUUGGCCGGGCGACGGUUGUCCCGGUUUAAGCGUGUAGGCUGGUUUUCCAGGCAAAUCCGGAAAAUCAAGGCUGAGGCGUGAUGACGAGGCACUACGGUGCUGAAGCAACAAAUGCCCUGCUUCCAGGAAAAGCCUCUAAGCAUCAGGUAACAUCAAAUCGUACCCCAAACCGACACAGGUGGUCAGGUAGAGAAUACCAAGGCGCUUGAGAGAACUCGGGUGAAGGAACUAGGCAAAAUGGUGCCGUAACUUCGGGAGAAGGCACGCUGAUAUGUAGGUGAAGCGACUUGCUCGUGGAGCUGAAAUCAGUCGAAGAUACCAGCUGGCUGCAACUGUUUAUUAAAAACACAGCACUGUGCAAACACGAAAGUGGACGUAUACGGUGUGACGCCUGCCCGGUGCCGGAAGGUUAAUUGAUGGGGUCAGCGCAAGCGAAGCUCUUGAUCGAAGCCCCGGUAAACGGCGGCCGUAACUAUAACGGUCCUAAGGUAGCGAAAUUCCUUGUCGGGUAAGUUCCGACCUGCACGAAUGGCGUAAUGAUGGCCAGGCUGUCUCCACCCGAGACUCAGUGAAAUUGAACUCGCUGUGAAGAUGCAGUGUACCCGCGGCAAGACGGAAAGACCCCGUGAACCUUUACUAUAGCUUGACACUGAACAUUGAGCCUUGAUGUGUAGGAUAGGUGGGAGGCUUUGAAGUGUGGACGCCAGUCUGCAUGGAGCCGACCUUGAAAUACCACCCUUUAAUGUUUGAUGUUCUAACGUUGACCCGUAAUCCGGGUUGCGGACAGUGUCUGGUGGGUAGUUUGACUGGGGCGGUCUCCUCCUAAAGAGUAACGGAGGAGCACGAAGGUUGGCUAAUCCUGGUCGGACAUCAGGAGGUUAGUGCAAUGGCAUAAGCCAGCUUGACUGCGAGCGUGACGGCGCGAGCAGGUGCGAAAGCAGGUCAUAGUGAUCCGGUGGUUCUGAAUGGAAGGGCCAUCGCUCAACGGAUAAAAGGUACUCCGGGGAUAACAGGCUGAUACCGCCCAAGAGUUCAUAUCGACGGCGGUGUUUGGCACCUCGAUGUCGGCUCAUCACAUCCUGGGGCUGAAGUAGGUCCCAAGGGUAUGGCUGUUCGCCAUUUAAAGUGGUACGCGAGCUGGGUUUAGAACGUCGUGAGACAGUUCGGUCCCUAUCUGCCGUGGGCGCUGGAGAACUGAGGGGGGCUGCUCCUAGUACGAGAGGACCGGAGUGGACGCAUCACUGGUGUUCGGGUUGUCAUGCCAAUGGCACUGCCCGGUAGCUAAAUGCGGAAGAGAUAAGUGCUGAAAGCAUCUAAGCACGAAACUUGCCCCGAGAUGAGUUCUCCCUGACUCCUUGAGAGUCCUGAAGGAACGUUGAAGACGACGACGUUGAUAGGCCGGGUGUGUAAGCGCAGCGAUGCGUUGAGCUAACCGGUACUAAUGAACCGUGAGGCUUAACC